GACGAACGCUGGCGGCAUGCCUAAUACAUGCAAGUAGAACGCUGAAGGAGGAGCUUGCUUCUCUGGAUGAGUUGCGAACGGGUGAGUAACGCGUAGGUAACCUGCCUGGUAGCGGGGGAUAACUAUUGGAAACGAUAGCUAAUACCGCAUAAUAGUAGAUGUUGCAUGACAUUUGCUUAAAAGGUGCAAUUGCAUCACUACCAGAUGGACCUGCGUUGUAUUAGCUAGUUGGUGGGGUAACGGCUCACCAAGGCGACGAUACAUAGCCGACCUGAGAGGGUGAUCGGCCACACUGGGACUGAGACACGGCCCAGACUCCUACGGGAGGCAGCAGUAGGGAAUCUUCGGCAAUGGACGGAAGUCUGACCGAGCAACGCCGCGUGAGUGAAGAAGGGUUUCGGAUCGUAAAGCUCGGUUGUAAGAGAAGAACGAGUGUGAGAGUGGAAAGUUCACACUGUGACGGUAUCUUACCAGAAAGGGACGGCUAACUACGUG
rnacentral:rRNA from 1 species